CUGAUAGUUUCUCGGUUUGGAUUUCAGUAUCGCAUAGGAAGUUGUCGCGAGUGCUUGCUUGGUGGAGCUUGGUCGAAUAGCUAAAGUAGAAUGCAAAAGGCAAACGUUUGCCGCAACCAACGCACAAAUCACUCGCCCGCAAUACCAAUACAAUUUCGAUAAGAAAAAAAUACAUAGUUUUCGCUACCGCAGAGCCAACUACAAAUAAACAAACAACAAACUGAUGCAAUGCAAUUUAUAAAAAAAAUGAAUUAAUACAAAAAAUAAAUAAAAAAUAAUAAUAUUUUCGAGCAAGAAAACUUAAUCGCACAGGCAUGCAAUUUAUGCAAUUUACUAAAUAGUGCUACGAAAAAUCCAAAACGUGGAUGUGAAAGCCUUUGACACCUCAUCCUAAACGAAAUAAAACAAAACGGCAAUUUCGUGUGCGCCCCAAACUUAUUUUACCAAUUAAAAGGCAUAAAUGUUGCAGUGAAAAUAUUUUAACCGUUUACAUUUAGACCUACAUACUCAUGUCCAGCAUUACAUAGUGCUUUGGUCAUAUCCAAAAUGCGCGGGUGCAAAAAAAUUCUUUAAUUUAAGCAGACAGCGUGUUACUCUCUGUGGCUUUACGGUUGUGUGUGUGUUAUUGUUCAAAAAAUGGCAAUGAAAAGAAACAACAGCGCGCUCCAACACCUUGCAAGAUUCGCCGGUCUUCUUAGAUAACUCCGACACCUUGCAAGAUUCGCCGGUCUUCUUAGAUAACUCCAGGGCCUUCGAUAGUGGGUUGUGUGCGCGGCUUUAGAUCAAACAAGAGAUGAGAGUUUGAAUAAAAACGAAACCAAAUUUUAGACAACUAACUGCUCUCAAUAGAAAACCAGUGUCAAUAAGGGCCUCUCAAUAGAAAGUUAGUGUCAUCAGUCUUCGUAGUUAUUUCCAGCGGCUUGGCGGAUAGUUUGUUUAUACUAAACUUCUAUAGUGGAUUGUGUGCGAGGCUUUAGAUAAAAACGAGAGACGGGAGACCAAAUUUUAGUACAACUGACGCCUCUCAAUUGAAAACCUGUGUGGAUAAGAGCCUCUCAAUAGAAAGUUAGCGUCAUGAGCCGUUCUCGGAUACUGCUAUGAACGAACCUCAAUAGAAAACCUGUGUGGAUAAGAGCCUCUCAAUAGAAAGUUAGUGUCAUGAACCGUUCUCGGAUAAUUCUAUGAACGAAAUUCCAAUAGCAAUUGCAAAGCUGUUAGCGGCAUACUAACUUUAUUUCAAAUGACAUUAGCGAGUUUAUGACUUCGUUAUCAUUGACAGUCGGUAUCUUUGCUAUUGUUGAUAUUUUGGUGAUCCUCCGUUUUAGUUUUUGUUUUAAGGUUAUUGUUUCAAAUAAAAAGAUAUCGAAUGCAAUGCAGCUUAGGGUGAAAACGUAUAAGCAUAGCUUAGUUCUAGAAUCCUUGCAAAUAAGACUUCCAAAAACUGAUAUAUCGAGCUCUCUUUCUAUAUUUUCUAGAAUCCUCGUAAAAAUAAUAAUUUUAAAAACUGAUACAACGAUCUCUUUUUGAUAUUUUUCUACUUGCAGUCCUUUCAAUAACUUUCAAAAAGUGUCUUCGGCUACUGAAAAAUACUUCGUUUUCUGCGUCAAAGUUGCCACUGUAGUAAUAUAGUCAUAUUUUCUUCAUUAUAUACAAAUCAGUCCUUCAUAUGCAAUAUUUUUUUUUUUGUUAUUUACUUCUAAUAUGUGCACCCUAUUACCCUAAAUAAACGCGCCUACCCGAGUCCAACGAAUUUUUACUCUCUUCCUCAAUUGAAUUCAUUUUCUCCCAUUACACAUUUCGAUUUCCAUCAAUCAAUGCUGAUCGAGUUCAAUAAAAUGCCAGCAAGUUAGAUUCAAUGUAUCGUGAAAUUUUCUGCUAUUACCAACCCUCCGUCUACUUCUGACCUAACCAUAAGGCUUUCAACAAGUAGUGGCCAUUGUUUAUUUGAUUUUAUUUGUUGAAAUUAUAGCAUGCCCCGUGAGAGUAUUCUGUGCACUGCAGCUUAGUUGUCAUCUCAGUCCCUAUACGAGUACAUACUACAAGUAUAUACAUAUGUGUGUAUAUAAAUCAUUUAAUUCACAAUAUCUGUUGCUAAUGGAAGCGGGAAAAGUAUAGCUUUGACGUUGUCGGUGACUGCGACAGAAACGUUUCAAAAUUACCUCUAAUUGCGGUCACGUGUUUUCGAUUGCUGUAGCCGCGAUCUAACGAGUUGCAUAGAUCUGAAAAGCGCGAAAUACGAGUAGUGUUUUGCAAAGCGUACUCAAGGGAAGCUUUCAAUGUGCGUGUUUCGUAUGAAAGUGCUUAGAAAAGUUUGUCUGAAUUCUAUGUGCUCUGAACUAUUCACAAAACGAAUAGAUCAGAGUCGAAAAUUGUGCGCGGGUAUUUGUGUUUUCCAAGUACAUACAACGUAUGUUUACCUCAGAGAGUCUAACUUCUCAGCGGUGAAAGAACUUUUCAAAUUCGUCAGAUAGUUACGGAUCCUCUACAAUUCAAAAAAUAUAGACUCGUAUUUACAUAC